rnacentral:rRNA from 1 species
GUCCUUGCCGUAAACGAUGUAUACUUGGUGUAGCUGGUCUCAACCCCAGUUGUGCCGUAGCUAACGCGUUAAGUAUACCGCCUGGGGAGUACAGUCGCAAGGCUGAAACUCAAAAGAAUUGACGGGGACCCGCACAAGCAGUGGAGCAUGUGGUUUAAUUCGAUGCAACGCGAAGAACCUUACCCAGGCUGAACUACUAGUGGACGUAUGCAGAGAUGUAUAUUCCCUUCGGGGCUGCUAGAUAGGUGCUGCAUGGCU